CCUACGGGAGUCAGCAGUGAGGAAUAUUGGUCAAUGGACGGAAGUCUGAACCAGCCAUGCCGCGUGCGGGAUGACGGUACUGAGUAUUGUAAACCUCUUUUGUACGGGAACAAACGCGAGUACGUGUACUCGGAUGAGAGUACUUUACGAAUAAGGAUCGGCUAACUCCGUGCCAGCAGCCGCGGUAAUACGGAGGAUGCGAGCGUUAUCCGGAUUUAUUGGGUUUAAAGGGUGCGAAGGGGGUUUGUUAAGUCAGCGGUAAAAGUCCGGGGCUCAACCCCGGACGGCCUUUGAAACUGGUGGUCUCGAGUGGAGGUGAGGUAGGCGGAAUGCAUGGUGUAGCGGUGAAAUGCAUAGAGAUCGCGCAGAACACCGAUUGCGAAGGCAGCAUGCCGGCCUAUAACUGACGCUGAGGCACGAAAGCGUGGGGAGCGAACAGGAUUAGAUACCCUUGUAGUC
rnacentral:rRNA from 1 species